GGCUUAUUGAAGAACAUUUUAAUCUCUUCCCCCAGUAUUUUCAAAACACCGCUGCAAUGGAAGAACCUUGGGACUGGAGUGCUGUGGCUAUUCACAAGCAUGAUCGUAGUGCACCCGAGCCUUGAACUCCUGGCUUCAAAGCAUCAUUCUGCCUCAGGCUUCCAAGUAGCUUGGACAACAGAGACAGAGUCUUACACUCUUGCCCAGGCUGGAGUGCAGUGACAUGAUUACAGCUCACAACAGCCUCAAUCUCUCAGGCUCAAGAGGCCCUCCUGCCUCAGCCUCUCCGGUAGCUGGGACUACAGAAAACAAAAUUGGAGAGGAAAUGUCCCAUAAAAGGAUCAAGAAGAAGAAAGAAGGAAAAAGGAAGAGAAGGAAAGAAUGAUGGGAGGAAAACAGUUGAGAGUCAUUAAUUAUUGCCUACCUUACACCAAGUCAUGGGGAAAAUCUGAAGCCUUUGAUGAUGGCAGUGUCUGUCCAAAUAUACAUCUUCUGAAAGUGAUACUCUUGUGUUUGAAAUUACCCAUUUAAAAUAUUAUUAAUUUGGUCAAACUAA